rnacentral:tRNA from 1 species
GGAAGAGUCGUCCUGUGGUGAGGGCACUAGUUUAGGACAUAAGAGACCAAGGUUCAAUUCCAUGCUCCACCA